rnacentral:rRNA from 1 species
UUAAGCGACUAAGCGUACACGGUGGAUGCCCUGGCAGUCAGAGGCGAUGAAGGACGUGCUAAUCUGCGAAAAGCGUCGGUAAGGUGAUAUGAACCGUUACAGCCGGCGAUGUCCGAAUGGGGAAACCCAGUGUGAUUCGUCACACUAUCGUUAACUGAAUACAUAGGUUAACGAGGCGAACCGGGGGAACUGAAACAUCUAAGUACCCCGAGGAAAAGAAAUCAACCGAGAUUCCCCCAGUAGCGGCGAGCGAACGGGGAGCAGCCCAGAGUCUGAAUCAGCUUGUGUGUUAGUGGAACGGUCUGGAAAGUCCGACGGUACAGGGUGAUAGUCCCGUACACCAAAAUGCACAGGCUGUGAACUCGAAGAGUAGGGCGGGACACGUGGUAUCCUGUCUGAAUAUGGGGGGACCAUCCUCCAAGGCUAAAUACUCCUGACUGACCGAUAGUGAACCAGUACCGUGAGGGAAAGGCGAAAAGAACCCCGGCGAGGGGAGUGAAAAAGAACCUGAAACCGUGUACGUACAAGCAGUGGGAGCACCUUCGGGUGUGACUGCGUACCUUUUGUAUAAUGGGUCAGCGACUUAUAUUCUGUAGCAAGGUUAACCGUAUAGGGGAGCCGCAGGGAAACCGAGUCUUAACUGGGCGUUAAGUUGCAGGGUAUAGACCCGAAACCCGGUGAUCUAGCCAUGGGCAGGUUGAAGGUUGGGUAACACUAACUGGAGGACCGAACCGACUAAUGUUGAAAAAUUAGCGGAUGACUUGUGGCUGGGGGUGAAAGGCCAAUCAAACCGGGAGAUAGCUGGUUCUCCCCGAAAGCUAUUUAGGUAGCGCCUCGUGAACUCAUCUUCGGGGGUAGAGCACUGUUUCGGCUAGGGGGUCAUCCCGACUUACCAACCCGAUGCAAACUACGAAUACCGAAGAAUGUUAUCACGGGAGACACACGGCGGGUGCUAACGUCCGUCGUGAAGAGGGAAACAACCCAGACCGCCAGCUAAGGUCCCAAAGUCAUGGUUAAGUGGGAAACGAUGUGGGAAGGCACAGACAGCCAGGAUGUUGGCUUAGAAGCAGCCAUCAUUUAAAGAAAGCGUAAUAGCUCACUGGUCGAGUCGGCCUGCGCGGAAGAUGUAACGGGGCUAAACCAUGCACCGAAGCUGCGGCAGCGACACUAUGUGUUGUUGGGUAGGGGAGCGUUCUGUAAGCCUGCGAAGGUGACCUGUGAGGGUUGCUGGAGGUAUCAGAAGUGCGAAUGCUGACAUAAGUAACGAUAAAGCGGGUGAAAAGCCCGCUCGCCGGAAGACCAAGGGUUCCUGUCCAACGUUAAUCGGGGCAGGGUGAGUCGACCCCUAAGGCGAGGCCGAAAGGCGUAGUCGAUGGGAAACAGGUUAAUAUUCCUGUACUUGGUGUUACUGCGAAGGGGGGACGGAGAAGGCUAUGUUAGCCGGGCGACGGUUGUCCCGGUUUAAGCAUGUAGGCUGAUUGUCCAGGCAAAUCCGGAUAAUCAAGGCUGAGGUGUGAUGACGAGGCACUACGGUGCUGAAGUAACAAAUGCCCUGCUUCCAGGAAAAGCCUCUAAGCAUCAGGUAACAUCAAAUCGUACCCCAAACCGACACAGGUGGUCAGGUAGAGAAUACCAAGGCGCUUGAGAGAACUCGGGUGAAGGAACUAGGCAAAAUGGUGCCGUAACUUCGGGAGAAGGCACGCUGGUGUGUAGGUGAAGUCCCUGCGGAUGGAGCUGAGACCAGUCGAAGAUACCAGCUGGCUGCAACUGUUUAUUAAAAACACAGCACUGUGCAAACACGAAAGUGGACGUAUACGGUGUGACGCCUGCCCGGUGCCGGAAGGUUAAUUGAUGGGGUUAUCCGUAAGGAGAAGCUCUUGAUCGAAGCCCCGGUAAACGGCGGCCGUAACUAUAACGGUCCUAAGGUAGCGAAAUUCCUUGUCGGGUAAGUUCCGACCUGCACGAAUGGCGUAAUGAUGGCCAGGCUGUCUCCACCCGAGACUCAGUGAAAUUGAACUCGCUGUGAAGAUGCAGUGUACCCGCGGCAAGACGGAAAGACCCCGUGAACCUUUACUAUAGCUUGACACUGAACAUUGAGCCUUGAUGUGUAGGAUAGGUGGGAGGCUUUGAAGCGUGGACGCCAGUCUGCGUGGAGCCAACCUUGAAAUACCACCCUUUAAUGUUUGAUGUUCUAACGUUGGCCCCUUACCGGGGUUGCGGACAGUGUCUGGUGGGUAGUUUGACUGGGGCGGUCUCCUCCCAAAGCGUAACGGAGGAGCACGAAGGUUAGCUAAUCCUGGUCGGACAUCAGGAGGUUAGUGCAAUGGCAUAAGCUAGCUUGACUGCGAGCGUGACGGCGCGAGCAGGUGCGAAAGCAGGUCAUAGUGAUCCGGUGGUUCUGAAUGGAAGGGCCAUCGCUCAACGGAUAAAAGGUACUCCGGGGAUAACAGGCUGAUACCGCCCAAGAGUUCAUAUCGACGGCGGUGUUUGGCACCUCGAUGUCGGCUCAUCACAUCCUGGGGCUGAAGUAGGUCCCAAGGGUAUGGCUGUUCGCCAUUUAAAGUGGUACGCGAGCUGGGUUUAGAACGUCGUGAGACAGUUCGGUCCCUAUCUGCCGUGGGCGCUGGAGAAUUGAGGGGGGCUGCUCCUAGUACGAGAGGACCGGAGUGGACGCAUCACUGGUGUUCGGGUUGUCAUGCCAAUGGCACUGCCCGGUAGCUAAAUGCGGAAGAGAUAAGUGCUGAAAGCAUCUAAGCACGAAACUUGCCCCGAGAUGAGUUCUCCCUGAGACUUUAAGUCUCCUGAAGGAACGUUGAAGACGACGACGUUGAUAGGCCGGGUGUGUAAGCGCAGCGAUGCGUUGAGCUAACCGGUACUAAUGAACCGUGAGGCUUAACCUU